rnacentral:lncRNA from 1 species
UCGCAGCAAGCUCACGCCACCUCUGGGCGUACUCUUUAAAGCUUUCAUUGUUUUUCUGGCACAGACUCUGCAACUGAGUCCGGCUCGGUGCCAUAUCCAUGUUGUGCUUGUAUUGUCUGAGGAAAGCUUCUCCCAGAUCCCUCCAGCAGCGGAUAGAAUCUCUUUUUAACUCCAUGUACCAGUCCAAAGAAGCCCCAGAUAGACUAUCUUGGAAAAAGUACAUCCACAUCUUUUCAUCAUCCGUGUAGGCAGAG